UAGGUAUCCAAGAAAAGGGUGAAUUUCCAUGGUCCGGCACUGGUCAGGUCCCGAGGUUGCUGGACUAGAGAGGUACAACCUGUAAUAAUAUGAUUACAUAUUAUUUAUAUAUUUUUUGGAGCAAAUGCACUUCAUAAAUCUUGACACAGUUGAUUAUCUUAAGCUAAUCCCCGUAAAAAAAAAAAUUGGGCCAUGACAUUCGCUCACUCACUGACACCAGCACCUAUUGUACAGUACAGUUGUUGUGUUUUUAUACCUUAGGAUAUAUUUAUGGUAAACAUGAUUUUGCUUGGGUGUUGUUUAAUAUUGUAGCUAAAACCUUAACAGGGAUUAAUGGGAAGUUGGGAACAAAAAAAUUUGUUGGUUAAAGGUUAAAACAUCUGAGACAAAGCUUGGUUCCUGUGACAUCACAUCAAGUCCACUGACUCAACAAACAGUUACUUGUGAGACAACACAACUUAACUUCAAGUUUUUCAUGCACAUAUUGGAUGCUUGUGUAAUGGAAUACUGUACAAGAAUGUUGUAUUGUUUUUAUGUACAGUAUACUAUACUACACAGUAAACCCUCAUUUAACCGACCCCCACAAUAACCGAUCAACAAAUUGUUCUUGCCUACAGUUGUAGGCUGCAAACCGACAGCUCUUGCUAUGUCCACAGCUCACUUUCCUUCUUCAAAUCUAAUGUGACACUUUUCCUUUUCUUUCUGUGACCACAACCAGUAGUGGUGCAUAAUACACAAUUAACACUCAUUGUUCUAAGGCUCAAAUAAAUUUAUAAUUGUAUUUUAAGUGAAUGUUGGAAGAGCAUCAACCAACCACCGAACAAUAACAAAUAUGGCGUCCUUGCUGGUCACUUACGCAGGUGGCUGGACCAUGUGCGCUCACUCCGUAGCAGUGACAGUCCGGGUUAAACACUUGUCCAUUUUGCACAUGUGCUACUCUGCUCUCUUAACAACUGUGCUCCUUGUGCUUGUGAUGGCUCCCAAACACCCUCAUCUAGCUGCAGGAAGGUGCCCAAACAAGUGAAGAAAGAAAGGAAGGUCAUAUAUUUCUCCCAUACAUAUGCCUGGCAAUGGGAGUGGAUAAGGGGAGUGAGUGACUGCUAGUUAGGGCGUCAUUUGCAGUUGUAACUCGCCUCACUCCCUGCCAUAUUUCACUGGAUUUACUGUUAUUAUUAGUGUUUACUGAUAAAAGAGUGUUUAAUAAUGAUUAAUCGUGUCAUUAUAGCUCGGUUAACUCAUCACUGUAACCACCAGGCUACUGGGCCAAGCUGUGAGGUGUUAUGGUCUUUCAACUCGCAAUUUCGUGUAGAUAUACGUAACCUUCUUCAUUCAUUUUUACUCAGUUACAUGCACACACCAUCCUACAAACAUAUUGUGAAAAAAGUACAGUAUUACACCACAAUUACCAACGUCCUUCAUGUUGGGUUGGUUAGAUGGCUAUGAAAGAAAUUCUUUAAGUUUGAUCUAUAAUACAUAUCAACCCAGCUGGAGCUCAGAUGCCUUUCGCUGUAGAGACAGUAAUUCUUAAGAGGCAACCCAACUUUAAUAACAAAGCAUGGAGUUGACUGGGAGGUAAACUCCCGCAUUUUUUUCUGCAUUUUGAUGCAUUCUGUUUUCUUUUUUUCUUUUUUUUAUUAUUUCUGAGAGAAUUUUCCCAUUAUUAUUUAUUUGUGUGUGUGUGUGUGUGUGUGUCUACAUACACACAUAUACAGUACUGUACAGGUAAAAGAAAUAAUUGCCCUAGGGGGAAUAUACACUUUGCACAAGUGUAAAAAUUUAACCCCCGGUCAGCAAAUUGUAUUCGUGGUUUUGGUUUAGCAAUUCGUGGCUAUUUUUAGACCCAAACCCCCACGAAUUUUAAGGGCAUGCUAUACCUCAAUUGUCUGACUUAUCAGCUUUUCCGACCUGACCUCUCCCCGUAUAGGUCGGCUAAACAAAGGUAUACUGCACUACAAUCCAGUAUAUGAAGGAAAGUCGAUCAUUUUAAUUAACUCCUUUACUAUGGGGAUGCCACUUUUAAUAUUUUAGCUGGCUAAUGCCAAUUGAAUUACUUAGCACAUAUCAUACAUUAACUAAACUUCCUGUAAUAUCAAGUAUUUUUCAGCCAUGAUGUAAACUGUACAGUAAUUUUGAACUGCAUUGGUUUUAUGUACGGGCAGUCCCUGGGUUACAUACGAGUUCCGUUCCUGCAGAUGGUUCUUAAGUCGAAAAUACUCGUAUACUUAACUCAAACCAUAUAUCCUAUGUGCAUACUGUACUUACAUAACAUUGUUUAAAAUCCCAUUAUAUCAUAGCCUUAGUCCUUAUAUACUGUACAUCUAAAAUCACUUAAUUAAAGAGAAAAGAAAUAUAAUGACAAAAUACAGUAAAUGUAAGUAAAAAAUAAGUCAUUGGGUAAAUAAACUAAAAUACUGUAAAUUUUAAAUUAAACAUUAUUGGACCUCGUUCAUAUCGGCAGAUGUUCGUAAGUUGUACAUGUGUAACCCGGGGACCCCCUGUAUAAUGUAUAUAAAUCAUUUAUUGUAAUUACACAGUUGUAUCAUGUUUAUUGGUGAAGGAGAAACAAACAUUUACAUGUUUAGUUCCAAGGGUUUUCAUAUUUUUGUGCAUUUUGCUUUACAGUACAGUACAGUACAGGGUAAUUAUAAGGGUGGAUUACCCUACCCUAUACUGUAAUGGUUCAAAAAUAUGUAUUUACUGAAUUAAUUCAGUCCUAAGCUCCUUUGUAAAAACAGGGUUUUACUAUAGUAAGUUUUCAUUAGAUGGACCAACAUAGUAAGUUUUCAUAGAUGGACCAACAUAGUAAGUUUUCAUUAGAUGGACCAACAUAGUAAGUUUUCAUUAGAUGGACCAACAUAGUAAGUUUUCAUAGAUGGACCAACAUAGUAAGUUUUCAUUAGAUGGACCAACCUAGUAAGUUUUCAUUAGAUGGACCAACCUAGUAGGUUUUCAUUAGAUGGACCAACAUAGUAAGUUUUCAUUAGAUGGACCAACAUAGUAAGUUUUCAUAGAUGGACCAACAUAGUAAGUUUUCAUUAGAUGGACCAACAUAGUAAGUUUUCAUUAGAUGGACCAACCUAGUAAGUUUUCAUAGAUGGACCAACAUAGUAAGUUUUCAUUAGAUGGACCAACCUAGUAAGUUUUCAUAGAUGGACCAACCUAGUAAGUUUUCAUAGAUGGACCAACAUAGUAAGUUUUCAUUAGAUGGACCAACAUAGUACUGUAUACAUAUAGAUUGACUAACAUACAGUACAGGUUGACAACCCCUUUUCUGAAAACCGAUUUUUUUUUUUUUUUUUUUU